rnacentral:tRNA from 2 species
AAUUAUUAAGCUUUCUAAGCUUUAUGUUUUGAAUACAUAAAAAAGAAAUUAAAUUUUCUAAUAAUUU